UGAUGUAGACCUGGAAAUCGAGUAUGGGGCUCUCCCUCUUUAUAUGCUGAUGCAGAUGUGGAUGACCAGGAAAAACAGACCAAUCAGAACGGACCUGGCUUUUCAGGAGGAGCGCUUAAACAAACUUGUCUGCCAUGAUGCAGUAUUAGAACGAAGAGGGCAGCUACUGACCUCAAAAGAGGAACUGUCAUCUCUGGGCAUCUGGCUGCUUCAAGUCCCAGGGCAGUGGAAGCUGUG